rnacentral:rRNA from 1 species
GGGCCCUACGGGAGGCAGCAGUGGGGAAUAUUGCACAAUGGGGGAAACCCUGAUGCAGCGACGCCGCGUGAGUGAAGAAGUAUUUCGGUACGUAAAGCUCUAUCAGCAGGGAAGAAUAAUGACGGUACCUGACUAAGAAGCCCCGGCUAACUACGUGCCAGCAGCCGCGGUAAUACGUAGGGGGCAAGCGUUAUCCGGAUUUACUGGGUGUAAAGGGAGCGUAGACGGCUGUGCACGUCUGAAGUGAAAUGCCGGGGCUCAACCCCGGAACUGCU